rnacentral:rRNA from 1 species
CUCCCAGACCGUCAGCGGCGGACGGGUGAGUAACACGUGGGCAACCUGCCUGUAAGACUGGGAUAACUCCGGGAAACCGGGGCUAAUACCGGAUAAUUCUUUUCCUCACAUGAGGAAAAGCUGAAAGAUGGCAUCUCGCUAUCACUUACAAAUGGGCCCGCGGCGCAUUACCUAGUUGGUGAGGUAACGGCUCACCAAGGCAACGAUGCGUACCCGACCUGAGAGGGUGAUCGGCCACACUGGGACUGAGAACACGGCCCAGAACUCCUACGGGAGGCACCAUUAGGGAAUCUUCCGCAAUGGACGAAAGUCUGACGGAGCAACGCCCCGGGAGUGAUGAAGGUUUUCGGAUCGUAAAACUCUGUUGUCAGGGAAAAACAAGUACCGGAGUAACUGCCGGUACCUUGACGGUACCUGACCAAAAAGCCACGGCUAACUACGUGCCACCAGCCGCGGUAAUACGUAGGUGGCAAGCGUUGUCCGGAAUUAUUGGGCGUAAAGCGCGCGCAGGCGGUUCCUUAAGUCUGAUGUGAAAGCCCCCGGCUCAACCGGGGAGGGUCAUUGGAAACUGGGGAACUUGAGUGCAGAAAAGAAAAGUGGAAUUCCACGUGUAGCGGUGAAAUGCGUAGAGAUGUGGAGGA